CCACCGAUAGCUUUAUUUAGAAACAAACCGUUACCAAAUAUGGUUUCAUUUAGGACUUUGAUUUUAAAGUUUUUUACCAUCUACUUGUUUGGUUGCGCGUUAUCUAAAAUCGUCUUACCGCACAAAUUAAGAUAUUUGGAAAACAUGUUGAACGCUGAAGUGGUGGCGAAAGCAGCGAAGAUACGUCAACGCAUCGAAUCAAACCCAAAUAUACAAGAGAACGAGAAAAGCUGGCCAUUGUUACUAGCCAAGUAUCAAGCCGAUGACAACUUGUUCAAAAAUAACAUAAAAUCCGGCGGUUACGGACUCUAUAACCGUCACUUUAACAAUAGAAUUUGAGUUUGGAAAUGUUUUAAUAAUAUCUGAGGUGGAUAUUAUGUAUCUAAAUAUACAAAUUUUAUUGGUAAUAUAUACCUGGUCGCACAGGUGUAGGUUGUAGGUACCCUAUCACAAUAUAUAUUUUAAGUGUAAAGUAGGUUACUAAUGCCUAUAAUAUGAUGGGUUACAUAGCCUAGGAUAUUAAUUAAUUUAAUUGUAAUUAUUUAUAACUAUAAAAAAGUCCUGAAAAUAUUUUUGAAUUGCUUUACUAUAGUAUGCAUUUAUUAAUGAGUCAACUAUUAGGGUUUGUGUUAUAAAGUAAUGAUCUGAAAGUCAUACUAGUUGUCUAUCCGUUAUAUUUUAUAUGUAGGUACCUAAUAGAUAACUGAGAAUUCAUACUUAACGGAGUAUCUAUAAUAUAAUAACUACGCAUAUUUAGUUAUUUGGCAAGUACUUGGCAACUCUAUAUAACUAAUAAAAAUUAAUCACGGGCCUACAUAGCAUUUUUUUAAAAUAUGUAUAAUAUAGAUUUUGAGUAAAU